rnacentral:lncRNA from 1 species
GCAGACACCUCUUGGCUAAACAGAGCACACACAUUUCAACAGAGGAGGGCUUGAACUUGUACUACCCAAGGUCCGGUUACCUGCAGCAUGUUGAGGAGCAGGCUCCGGAACUUGGUCCCCUCCACCAUAAAGAGCGCCAUCUUGUCACAGAGCUUGGCAGCGGUGAAGGCGAAGCUGCGGUCGGACACAGCCUUCUGGUAGAUUGUGCGCACGAUCUCGCCCAGCAUCUCCUCGGAGUUGGUGGAGUUCUGGGCCUCCUCCAUGAAGCCUUUUCCUUUAGCCUUCGCCGCAGUCUGUCUUUGGAAGACUGGAGCAGGGUAAUUUUGGGCCGCUCCCCGAUGCGCUCGGGAAGAAUACUGUCUUUACGUUUUGUCUCAACCUCUGGCCCCCCUGACUGCUGUGGGGGCAGCCGCUCAGAAGCCACCGGGGCCAGGGUGUCAGGGCUGCGGGGGGCCUCGAGGCUGCUGUGCCCGGUGUCCCCUGCAGUGUCCUCUAGUUUUGGGUUCUCGAUGGUCAUGGUCUCUUUGGCAUUGCGGUGUGCGCCUGCCUCCCCCUUGUCGCCUGGUGGGUGCUUCAUGUUGCCAUGGUGCCAGCGCCGGUUCUGGCUGUAGCCAUGGUGAGUGGGCCUCCCUGAGGGGUGGGGUGCUGAGCCCCCCUGGUAGGAUUUCUGGUGGUCCCUGUUGUGUUUGGCACUGCCUGGCUGGUGGUCACCGUGCUGUUGGGGUUUGCUCCCCCCCGGAGGUCUCUGCUGCC